rnacentral:rRNA from 1 species
ACGGGAGGCAGCAGUGGGGAAUAUUGCACAAUGGGGGAAACCCUGAUGCAGCGACGCCGCGUGAGUGAAGAAGUAUUUCGGUAUGUAAAGCUCUAUCAGCAGGAAAGAAAAUGACGGUACCUGACUAAGAAGCCCCGGCUAACUACGUGCCAGCAGCCGCGGUAAUACGUAGGGGGCAAGCGUUAUCCGGAUUUACUGGGUGUAAGGGGAGCGUAGACGGUAAGGCAAGUCUGAAGUGAAAUGCCAGGGCUCAACCCUGGAACUGCUUUGGAAACUGUCCUACUAGAGUGCAGGAGAGGUAAGUGGAAUUCCUAGUGUAGCGGUGAAAUGCGUAGAUAUUAGGAGGAACACCAGUGGCGAAGGCGGCUUACUGGACUGUAACUGACGUUGAGGCUCGAAAGCGUGGGGAGCAAACAGGAUUAGAUACCCUGGUA